GACGUAGGAGGCCAGCGUUGCUCGGAAUUACUGGGUGUAAAGGGUUCGUAGGCGGUGUGGCAAGUCGGGAGUGAAAUCUCUGGGCUCAACCCAGAGUCUGCUUCCGAAACUGCUGUGCUUGAGUGUGGGAGAGGCGCGUGGAAUUGCAGGUGUAGCGGUGAAAUGCGUAGAUAUCUGCAGGAACACCCGUGGCGAAAGCGGCGCGCUGGACCACUACUGACGCUGAGGAACGAAAGCUAGGGGAGCAAACAGG
rnacentral:rRNA from 1 species